CCUACGGGAGGCAGCAGUGAGGAAUAUUGGUCAAUGGUCGGGAGACUGAACCAGCCAAGCCGCGUGAGGGAGGAAGGUCCAGAGUAUCGUAAACCUCUUUUGUCAGGGAACAAAGGCGGGGACGUGUCCCCGGAUGAGUGUACCUGAAGAAAAAGCAUCGGCUAACUCCGUGCCAGCAGCCGCGGUAAUACGGAGGAUGCGAGCGUUUUCCGGAUUUAUUGGGUUUAAGGGGUGCGCAGGCGGUCUGUUAAGUCAGCGGUCAAAGCCCGGGGCUCAACCCCGGCCCGCCGUUGAAACUGGCAGUCGCGAGUUGGAGAGAGGUAAGCGGAAUGCGCGGUGUAGCGGUGAAAUGCAUAGAUAUCGCGAAGAACUCCGAUUGCGAAGGCAGCAUGCCGGCGCCACACUGACGCUGAGGCACGAAAGCGUGGGUAUCGAACAGGAUUAGAUACCCGUGUAGUC
rnacentral:rRNA from 1 species